rnacentral:rRNA from 1 species
GAUGAACGCUGGCGGCGUGCUUAACACAUGCAAGUCGAACGAGAAGUGGAGACGGAAACCUUCGGGCGGAAGACUUUACUUCGAGUGGCGGACGGGUGAGUAACGCGUGGGUAACCUGCCUCAUACAGGGGGAUAACAGUUGGAAACGACUGUUAAUACCGCAUAAGACCACAGCACCGCAUGGUGCGGGGGUAAAAACUCCGGUGGUAUGAGAUGGACCCGCGUUCGAUUAGCCAGUUGGCGGGGUAACGGCCCACCAAAGCGACGAUCGAUAGCCGAUCUGAGAGGAUGACCGGCCACAUUGGGACUGAGACACGGCCCAAACUCCUACGGGAGGCAGCAGUGGGGAAUAUUGCACAAUGGGGGAAACCCUGAGGCAGCGACGCCGCGUGAGUGAAGAAGUAUUUCGGUAUGUAAAGCUCUACCAGCAGGGAAGAAAAUGACAGUACCUGAGUAAGAAGCCCCGGCUAACUACG